UCCAAUUGCACAUUCCCUCAACUUCUGACAUCUGUAGCAUUGUGUUGUGACAACUGCACAUUUUAGUGGCCUAUUUAUUAACAUCUCAAGGAUGAUCAAUGGAAACAGGAUGCACCUGAGCUCAAUUUCAAGUCUCAUAGCAAAGGAUCUGAAUACUCAUGUUUUAAGAUCCUGAACAAGUCAUCAUGAGAGAGGAACUUUGGUCGUGGCCGUGUUUACAAGACAGCUGGUUGAGAAGAAGGGAGUCAAGAAAACUGUGGUAGACAACAUCAAGGUGUGCAGCAACGACGCUGGUUCAACCGCAUCUGCAAUACGGUGCGAUGGUCCUGUAAACCCACCAUCGGGGACAAGUUCGCCAUCCAGAAGGGCAUCCUGAACCGCCUGUGGCCUGCCGAGGACAUGCCCUUCACAGAGAGCGGCAUGACCACC
ensembl:lncRNA